rnacentral:rRNA from 1 species
UACGUAGGGGGCGAGCGUUGUCCGGAAUUAUUGGGCGUAAAGCGCGCGCAGGCGGCAAUGUAAGUUGGGUGUUUAAACCUAGGGCUCAACCUUGGGUCGCAUCCAAAACUGCAUAGCUUGAGUGCAGAAGAGGAAAGUGGAAUUCCACGUGUAGCGGUGAAAUGCGUAGAGAUGUGGAGGAACACCAGUGGCGAAGGCGACUUUCUGGGCUGUAACUGACGCUGAGGCGCGAAAGCGUGGGGAGCAAACAGG